CGUGUAGGCGGUCAGGUAAGUGGAAUGUGAAAUGCCCCGGCUCACCCGGGGACCGGCAUCCCAAACUGCCUGGCUUGAGUAUGGGAGAGGAUGGAGGAAUUCCUGGUGUAGCGGUGAAAUGCGUAGAUAUCAGGAGGAACACCGGUGGCGAAGGCGUCCAUCUGGCCCAAUACUGACACUGAGGCGCGAAAGCUAGGGGAGCAAACG
rnacentral:rRNA from 1 species